rnacentral:rRNA from 1 species
UACGUAGGGUGCAAGCGUUAAUCGGAAUUACUGGGCGUAAAGCGUGCGCAGGCGGUUAUAUAAGACAGUUGUGAAAUCCCCGGGCUCAACCUGGGAACUGCAUCUGUGACUGUAUAGCUAGAGUACGGUAGAGGGGGAUGGAAUUCCGCGUGUAGCAGUGAAAUGCGUAGAUAUGCGGAGGAACACCGAUGGCGAAGGCAAUCCCCUGGACCUGUACUGACGCUCAUGCACGAAAGCGUGGGGAGCGAACCGG